GGAAGAGCUGACCCCAUUUGGCUGCGGGGCCCAAUCUUGAAAAUUGGUAAUCAUUCAAAAGAUGAUGUUAGAGUUCGAAUCUCUACUCUUCCGC
rnacentral:tRNA from 1 species